rnacentral:rRNA from 1 species
UACGUAGGGUGCAGGCGUUAAUCGGAAUUACUGGGCAUAAAGCGCGCGUAGGCGGCUGGGUCCGUCCGAUGUGAAAGCCCCCGGCUCAACCGGGGAAGUGCAUCGGAUACAGCCCGGCUUGAGGACGGGUUGGGGUGAGUGGAACUCCUGGUGGAGCGGUGAAAUGCGUAGAUAUCAGGAGGAACACCGGUGGCGAAAGCGGCUCACUGGACCGUUACUGACGCUGAGGUGCGAAAGCUAGGGGAGCAAACGGGG